AGCAGGAGCAGCAGCAACCCCUCAACACCAACAUUGUACCCAUCAGCUUUGAGCACCCGCCCCUGUAAACGUCUCUGCACGGCCCUGCCUGGACCCCACAGUUACAGCUGGAUACCGAGUGCCGCCUGGUGUCUGAGUGUGAGAGCUCCCCCUCAACCUAUUCCUACUUUAACGUAACAUCACUUUAACAUAACAUCACUGCUCAAAGUGGCUGCUAAAACCUCAAACCAAAGGAAAUGACCUGGGCUACCGGGUGGACAGUCCGCUGAUUAAUGAAACUAUCCUGUCGACUUAAAUUAAUUUAAAAAAAAAAAACAUUUUUAAAAGUAAAGCGAUAAUUGUCAUUAUUUCGGUAAAAUUUUCCCAUUUGUGUAAUAAUC